rnacentral:rRNA from 1 species
CGGGAUAACACCUGGAAACAGAUGCUAAUACCGGAUAACAACAGAUGAUGCCUAUCAACUGUUUAAAAGAUGGUUCUGCUAUCACUCUUGGAUGGACCUGCGGUGCAUUAGCUAGUUGGUAGGGUAACGGCCUACCAAGGCGAUGAUGCAUAGCCGAGUUGAGAGACUGAUCGGCCACAUUGGGACUGAGACACGGCCCAAACUCCUACGGGAGGCAGCAGGC